GAGGGACAGAGAAAGCCACCAAAGGUAUGUGGCAAAGACUUGUGACAUCCAGAAGGCACUCAGUGCUGCCUACGGGGAGGAAGGAGGCCAGAACACUGGUGUAUAGUCCCGGUUGAUCAGCCCCUGGAAAUGACAACACAAGAACAAACAGUCCGAUCCUGAGAUGAACGGCGGCUGCAGACUGAACGGUGCAUUCAGUGGAGCUGACAUUUUGACAUCAGCUGGAGUUGAAAGAGAGUGCAGGGGGUGGAGUAGGGCGCCUCUCCGGGCACUCGGUCACCAUCUCACUACGGUCAGGCUCACUGCUAAGAUGCGGCACCGCAGCAUGGAGAGGCAAGCACUUUGUAAUAUUCAGAUCUAGCUACCAAAAUUUUAAAAAAGAGACAGUUUGGUUGGUUUGUUGUUGUGAUAUGGUCCACCAGAAGAUAAUUCUACGGACACUAUGAAGGGACAAAUUAAUUGAAUUGCGUUGUGGUAAUUUGUUUAUUUUUAGCGGUAGAGGGGGCCAUAAGAACUGUUUAUGUGUAAAACAUUUAUUUGCCAUUUAAGGCAGAAUGUCUUUCAUAAUAGCCAACAUUUUGAACACCAUAGGCUAUAACCUAUAAUAGUAUUGUAGAAAAUUCCCCCAUCAUGUUCAGGGAGAACAACCGUGAUACAUCUUAGUAGGAAGGGAGACCCUAGCCUAAUAUGUCAAGAUCUUCAAAUUAUAAACCUGUGAAUUAAUAAGGAUAUUCAUUGACCAUUACAGGCAUAUAGGCCUAAAAAAAGCCCAUUAUUAAUAAAACAAAGGCAAGUAUUUGUAUUGCUGACAGUCACACCCUUAUAUUUUGUCAAAGAAGAGGUCUUAGUGCUGUGGUUUAUGAUGAGGUUUCGGAUAAAGUGUAGGUUUCCAUUGGAGGAUAAGACAGGUGGUUUUGGGGAUGCGCCUUUUUGACCUGACGUCACUGGUGGGGGUAUAAAAUCCCUUAGAUUUGUCCUCCAGUCAUUCACUGUGAAAAAGCCAUCGACAGGACUAAGCGGCUGAGAAAGAAACCGACAACAAAAUGGCUAAAAUGUUGACGGCUUACAUUGGAUUCAUUCUCCUUGCCUUGCCUUGUUCAUCACAGGUCCACGCGCAAAACACUACCACAAAGUCCCCUGCCAUGACUGCUAUGACCGAAGCUGGCGGCGCGAGUUCCAACAUGACCAAGAUGCCCGAUGUUGUCGCUACCAAGAACAUCACCAUUCCCAAAGGAGCCAGUGUGUCCUUGCUGUCCAGCUCGGUCACGCUCUUUUCCAUCGCGUUGGCGGGCGCUUUCCUACACGGCCGCUUCUAGAAGGCUCCUGUGCACUGAACAGAUACUGCAAUGACUAACAUCAGUGGCCUAGAUGGGGAAAUUGUUUUAGGAAGAGCACACUUUUAUAACUUAAAGGCAGUCGUGUUCGCCUAACCAUAGAUUGAGUGCAAUUAGGCUGUUGCAGUGCUGCAGAACAUCUUUCUAAUUCACUGAUGGGAUUUCUUAUUUGGGGAUCACACCUCCCUGGCCACUUCAAACCAGUAGGCCUAUACAACUUGUGCACUGGCCAUAGGGCCUAUGGUGUGGACCCCUCCAUGGCGGCAGGCCAUGACGAGGAUGUGUGAAACUAGACUCUUUGGUCCCACUGGUCUUGUGUAGAUGGCAGUUUUUUUUUUAAAUGUAUGAAGUGUAAAUUUGCGCAGUGUUUGGUUAGUCUACUAAUAUAAGGAAGUUGGGGUGCAUUGUGGAACAUAAUGUAUCCAGUAGUCUGAUCUUUGUCAUGCAUUGGUGUAGUAUUUCUAAACCUGCAACGGACACUAAAGCUUGUGAUUAUUUGAAGUAUCAAUUUAGUUUAAAUUGUCAUGUUAACUAAUUAUUUGAAAUGUACUUGUGACAAAAUGUAUUUGUUCUUGUAGGCUACAAUAAAAUUUCAUGGGCCUAACUGA